UGGGCUAAGCGUAUUAUCAUAAGCCAUAAAGCGCUUAUCUAAUUGUUGUUCGAUGCAAUUACAUACAUCACGGCUACCUCGGCAAUGGUGCACGGUUAACGACGCCAUGGGCGUAGAUCGAUGAAGACAACGAGACAGAAAAAGAGAAACCGAACGCAGAGGUUGGCCAAGGGGUUGACGAUGGGUACGACAGGGGUUGAGCGAUCUCGGAAGGAGAGAAAAUGAAAAGUACGCGAACAGAACUAGCGAGUUGGUCCGCGCUGGAGGGAGAGGAACGAUAAAGGCACCGAUAAAGAGCGAAGAUGAAAUAAGAAACGUUUCGAGCGCGAGCGCGAUGGCGCGCCUCGACGAAGCGCGAAGAGAGCCAAGAAGAGGGCGGGAAAAAGGGGUCUUCAUUACGCCCUGAAAGGCUGCCGUUUUAAGAGCAAACGAAUAGGAAUAGUUAACAAUGAGACAGAGGCGCCUGGGAACGGAACCUGAAGAGGAAUAAAAUUCGCGCUUGAUACCGGUAGGCGAAGAAAGGCUCGCAAAUUAGAACAUCCUAUGUUUAAUUUAAAGACAUUUAAAGCGCCGUUUUCUAGCCUGCUAGUAGGAACUUCACGCGAGCAUCUGGAGAUUCCAGGGAAGAUGGAUUCGCUGGAUUCUCUCGCAGACACGUCAAAUAACACUAUAAUAUUAAUAGUACUAACACUAUUAAAUUAUAGAAGAUAAUGCCAAAUUAUAAAUACCAUACAAUGAUGUUAACUAAAGUAUGAUUAUUUUCUGUCCACGACCACUUCGACCAGAUAGUUUCAUUGAUAUUCUUCAAUAGAAAAAGAAUGUAAUGGGUUCACAAUAUAUUCUUAAAUGUCCACCCCCAUCGAGGAUUCUCCCAAAUACCAAUGAAUAUCGACUAUUCAACCUUUCCCUAAAAAUGUUAUUAUUCACAGAGCUGUUCUCCUAACAAAGUACCGUAAGAUACGGAUCACGAAACGCAGUGUUCAUUUAAGAAAAUAAGGAUUACGUCGGGAUCUCUGGCGGAACUUGAGUUAAGAAGAUUUCGCCCAAUCUGUGUCUCGCCCCCUCCCCUCCUCUCUGCCGUGCACAGCUCUUCGUCAAACGCAUUCCGCUUGAGAAAUAAUAACAUCAACGUAAAUUACGACGGUAAUUCCAAGCGCCACAUCCCGCGCAGUAUCCAGUCUUCGUUCGGCGAUAGUAUUCCGAGUCUUGUAAAGAAAAUCCCGCCGGCAAUCGUGCGGGAUUUCCAUCCAUGGAAUAACGUUUACGCGGGAAGGGAAGCUCUGCGAAGCUUGGCGUUUCCCUUCCCCCCCCCCCCCUCCUGGAUUCACCGAAACGAUACUAACGAAAGAGUCCGACCAUUCCAGCGUCGUUCUAUUCCUCCUUCGAGGCGGACCGACGAGUGCCAGUUGAAUCGUGAAAUUUCAUUCCCGACGCAUCCUACACCCACGGUCGAAUCGUGAAAAUUCAGUGCCUCGCGCCGACGGACACGAACGCAGCAAUGGGAGACACGAACACGAACACGAACACGGACACGUCGCCCGUUCCGCGACUGGGGAAACCCAGAAUCUCCGUUCGAGAGCCGUGUCGUGCUUAACUCCUCCGCGAAUCGGCGCGAACGUUUCCAUGUAAAUUGCCGCGAAAGAGCGUAAUCCGGUGGGAGAGCGUUCAUGCAGUCCGCUGGAAACCGCGGGACGUCGCGAACGUGAGCGUUCGCCAUCGACGUACAGGGUGGUCCAGCAAUCGUGAAACGACUUGGUGAUUCGCAAAAUUUACGGUCAAUUUUUAGAUAGAAGUACAUGCCAAUUGAAUGGACUAUGGAGCCUUAGAAAUGCUUACAGUGUUUUAAAGGAUAAUCGUGAAGAUCAUGACUAGACUAGUGCUAUAAUUAAUACAGUGAAGUAUGUAGAAAGAUGUUCAAGAUAUGAUUUGCUGAAAGAAUAAACGAGCAAGUUCAUGCAGCUUUACAGACAUGUUACCACACAGAAAUUUUAUCCACACAUAUCCAAGACCUACCAGCUGUUUGAUUUGGAGACAUGGUCAAGAAAAGACCACCCACCAUGAUCGAGAAACACAACUUUGAAAAUUCCGUAUUUUCCAUCUGUCUCUGCGCGAAGAACCCCUUCUCGGCAGUUGUGUCACGGCUGCUGUGCCACCCUGUAUUCGCUGCCCCCAGGCCGACAAUAGGAGGAAACUUCAGCAUUUUUCCCUUAUGCAUUAUGGAGAAGUCGGUUAUUAGGCGUAAAGCGAAGGUAAAGAGAGACGGAAUCCAUUUCCAAUAGCCUCUGUCCUCGGUCCAGGAUCGGCCCAUCGGGCCACUCGCGUGAUCGAGCGUCGCUCGCGAAAACACACGGUGAUACCUACCAGAACGCCAACGGAACAUCCCCUGUCUCCCGCUCGUCCCGACUGGAUAUGGAUUUCCAAUUCAGCCAGAUAUUUUCAAUAUCGUUGUCGCGUCUACGGCAUCCGCCAUUCUUUAGUCUUGUCUGCGUGAGUACCCGUUGGGCGUCGAUCGAAACGUGAAUGCGUGGUCCCGAAACAAAGUUGAAGUCUGGUUAGAAGUAUCAUUUAUUACUACGUUUCUCUAAUAAAUUGUAUUUUCAUUUGUAAUAUCGCGAUAUUAUACCCUCAAAGGUCUCUUAAAUCGUCUCCAGCUAUAUCUUACCAUCGCAGACAGUAGAUCCACGCAGAAGGUUGAACUAGAGAUGGAUCCAAGAGAAAACUUUUUCGACGAGCGGUGGCGGCGCCGCGGAACUUCGUGCGUCCCCCUUUCAGAGCCACGGCGGAAUUUUUUCGCCGCAUCGACGAGAACGAAGAUGAAAUCCUCGGCAAGCAUAAACUUAUCCGUGUCCAGUGACACCGAAUCCGUCCAACUAGAAAACAACGCCGAGGAAACCGAACGAACCGGCGCGUAUCGGACCUUAACGACAAUAACGCUGGAACGGGCGAAACGAAACUUUUCUGGACGGUUCUCUGGAAACGAUUCUCCGCGAUAUCACGAAAGCUCCGUCGUUAAGAAUUCAAUUAAGACUAAGAACCACGACCCCCUCC